rnacentral:rRNA from 1 species
AUCGAACGCUGGCGGCAUGCCUUACACAUGCAAGUCGAACGGCAGCGGACCUUCGGGUGCCGGCGAGUGGCGAACGGGUGAGUAAUGCAUCGGAACGUACCUUUCAGUGGGGGAUAACGUAGCGAAAGUUACGCUAAUACCGCAUAUUCUGUGAGCAGGAAAGCAGGGGAUCGCAAGACCUUGCGCUGAUUGAGCGGCCGAUGUCAGAUUAGCUAGUUGGUGAGGUAAAGGCUCACCAAGGCGACGAUCUGUAGCGGGUCUGAGAGGAUGUUCCGCCACACUGGAACUGAGACACGGUCCAGACUCCUACGGGAGGCAGCAGUGGGGAAUUUUGGACAAUGGGGGCAACCCUGAUCCAGCCAUGCCGCGUGAGUGAAGAAGGCCUUCGGGUUGUAAAGCUCUUUCGGCCGGGAAGAAAUCGCACGGGCUAAUACCCUGUGUGGAUGACGGUACCGGAAUAAGAAGCACCGGCUAACUACGUGCCAGCCGCCGCUGUAACAC